rnacentral:lncRNA from 1 species
ACCGGUACAGUAACUGUUGUGAAAUCGCGAUUAAUUUUGUUAUUUUCGUGCGUUAUUAGAUUGGUGUCAACACGCUCCUGUUGUGGUAAGUACAGUUUCAAUAACAUGGAUUUAAAGCAGUUAAACUGACCAUUAAAAAACCUCAAGUUCAAUUGAAAGUGUGCAUUCUAACCGAAAACAACUCGGCGUUUGUACACUAUGGCCGUUUUUCCUAAAUUGCACCACGCCGAUUUUCCUAAAUUGCGCCACGUUUUCGAGCGGUGCAAUUUAAGCUUAUAAUUUUUUAUUUCAGAUGGCGAAUGCAGGAAGAAGAUACGGUCCAGAAUGUAGGAAAAAGUACGGCCUCUGGCUGGAAGAAGAUAUGGAGAGGGCUAUUAUUGUCCGGAAGGGCAAUUUACGAAACAGGCGCAUUUUAGGCAUACUGGUGGUGCAAUUUAGGGAUAAGGAAAAUUUUUUCGCUUUAUAUUUAUUAAUUACAUACACAUUUUUCAAAAUUUUCCAUAUCUUUUAAUGUGGACAUUAAUUCGUAAGAUAAGGGUUUGAAUACGCAUAAAAGUUUUCUUUUAAAACUUUUCAAGGCCAAGAAAUAAACGAAAGUUCUUAAGUGGCGCAAUUAGGCACACUUCCCCUAAAUUCUUCCGAUGAAAUUUUAAUUGUUUUCUAAGUUAAUAUAUAACAAAAAAAUUAAUAAUGCUG